CGAGGAGCGCCCGCCUCUUCCUCCGCUCCCCGGCAGCCCCAGGGCGGGACGGCGGCGCCUCAGGGCGCUCUGCCCGGCCCUCACGCUGCCGGGGCUCUGUUCUCUCAGUGUCGCCCGGGAACAGCCGGGGUGGGAGCAGAGGUGGGUCGGGUUGGCCCGGUUUGGUUCCUCUGUGCAGCGCCGUGCUCGCGCGUCCCUCAGAGCCCGGUCACGGCCUUCCAAAUCAGGACACCCCGACCAAGCGCUCCUCGGUUUUAAAAGUCUCCGAGCAACAAACCUAUGUAAGAUUAUGGUCCUGAAAGAGGGACAGGCUGUGGUUUAGGAAAUGUCUAGUGAAGACGACGCUGCAAAACGCCCACAGUAACUCCUACGUUUGAAAGCCCUCCACUUUCAAUGAAAAGAAACAUUUCACGACCUAAAUGAUCAUUUUUAGCCCGCAAUUUCCUACAAAAACUUUCACUUUCUUACACUGUUCACUGGUAAUUUUGUUGAAGUAACUGAAAAUGGAGAUACUUAAAAGCUGUUAGCUGCACACUUCCCCAGCUCUAAAAUCAAUGUGUGGACCUUUGCUCAUUGUGUGCUCACUUCUCCAGGCUCUAAACAAAACACAUCAUGAAGGAACAUGCUGGAGAUAAAAGGGAGACUAGGGAAAAUGUCAGACUUCUCUGGAAGUGAAGCUCCAGUGAGCCUCCACUCACUGGCAGGUGCUGCAGCUACACCAUCAAAGUUGCAAAAGGAGAAGUCAAGGACCAGAGAGAACAGAUAGAAAGAAACAGACAAGAGUGAGAUCUACCAAGAGGAGUCUUCUUUCUCUUCUUCAUUCCCUCCCAUCAAGUAUUUAUACACAUUGAUGAGAGCCCCCUGAGCCUUCUCUAUCCCCAACUGAAGAGUUCCAGCUGUCUCAGCUUCUCCCAUUAUGAAAGACACAGCAACCCUUUAAUCAUCUCUGUGCCUUGCACAGGACUCACUCCACUAAUGAAACAACAUGAGGGGAGGAGUGAGAAAAAGAGGUUUUUGACAGAAGACCUGUAGAACAGGAAGAAGAUAAUAAAUUUGCAUUUGUAUGUUUUGUGAAAUGCACCUAAAGCAAUGAGAAGGACUGUGUGUAAAACUCAUCAGGCUUCAACCAGAAAACAAUCACACCUAAUGUGCCCAAAUAUCAUAAAAUUCAUCAUGUUCCGCAGCAAAAAAAGAGGAUGUCUUUUUUGUCAAUUGCUGAUGUUCAGUGAUGAAGCCAAGAGUAGUAUCAAAUGUACACAGUUGUCUUUGUCAGAGUGUAAAACCUUCAGUUUUUUUGACUGUGCUGGUUUAUUAAUUCUCAGUUACCUGCUCCAUGCAUGAGGAGAGAAGCAGUCCAGCACACAUAAACUAGAACAUUCUAUGGCUAAGUAGGUGACACAAUGAAAUGAUUUUGAGAAGUGCUUACUAUUGCUUUAUUUUAAAAGUUAAAUGGUAUCCUGACAUUUACAAGCUUAAAUCCACAAAGGGCUAUUGGAUCAUCUACUCCUCACCUCACGUGUAUAUCAAGCAUAUGAUCUACAAGUGGAAAGGCUUUUAGGCUUAAAUCUGAGAUGGAUUACUGCCUGCUUGCAGCAAAACAUCUUAAUAAACAGCAUGGCUCUCAAUUUUGUUUUAAUUCUACCCCUAUUCUGUGAGGAUAAGAAUCAAGAAAAAGAGCACAGGAACAUCUUGAAUUCCCUGGAUCCUUGUCAGAAGAUAGCAGAGCUUUUCUUUGUGUUUUCUGCUUAUAAAGAGUCAUUUUUUUCAGGACUGUCAUGAAGUGUUUGUGAAGCUCCUGCACCAGUCUGCCCUGUAAUGGGAGUUCAUUCAAAGGCCAAGUUGUUUCAGGACAAGCAUCAGUAGCAAUUACCACUUCCAGCUUUUCUGGAACACACUCACAGAAGUGUGAGUUUGUGUCAAGGGCUCCAGAGUCAGACUGCUAGCCUAAGCUUCAGACACAAAGAGAGAUCAGUUACUCUCAGUUUCCUGUAUGACAGUUCUUCAUGUUGAAGUUUUAGGUAAAAUUUCAACUUCAAUUUUGACAAACAAGUUAGGGCACUAUUUAAAAAAAAAAUAAAUAAAUUGUGCCUCUUGCAAUGAUCUAGUUUUCAAACUAUAGUCAUUAAAAGAGUAAGAGGAAAUUAUAUUUCAAAUGUCUACAGAAUCCUUUUACUUCACUACUGCAAAACUUGCCAUCUAGCAAAAGCCUCUAAGUAAUUCAGAAUAAGUUAUAAAAUGGACUUCAGAAAUCAAUGCUUAGUUUAAUUGGAUACUCACACUAUGAUUAAUUCAAGUAUUUGAGGAGCAAGUCUUUCUGCACAUAGCUUUACAUAGCUAAAUGUAACCAUGAAAUUGGCUCUAAAAUAGUGUUCAGCUUCUGAAACAUCUAAUGUGGUGUACAUCUGGUUCUCUACAUAAACUAGUGUGAGUUUGGUUGAAUAAAAUUGCAAGACUGGAGCCUGUAUCUUUCCAGAUAUCAGUCACUGAUUUGAGUGCUGUACUUCCAUGAUGCUACAAAAAACAACUGUCAUACAGCUGCCUAUAUUGGAGUUCCUCUCCAAAGAAUAAGGAAUUUCCCUAUGUUGGUUCCUCAGCAACUCAGCAUAUGAAUAGCCUGUAAUGAUCCAGCUGCUGAUUCAGCUCUCUACUCUUUUCACAGAACUCUAAGAAGCUUUCAAAAGCUAUUUAUGCUUUAUGAAAUUCACAGUAAAAAGAAUUGAUGGCUAUGGCUAUGUGAUGGUGUAUUAUUUUUGACAGUGCAUAUGCAGUACAGGAAAAAUGGGAAAUGGAAAAGGAUAGAGGAUGAGGUUUUGUGCAGUUUUUCCAAUUGUGCUCUGAGUAAAUUUUUGCAUGUGUGGUUUUUUUCUUGCUUAUUUGUCCUGUCAUUCAAAUAAAUGGAGAUCUUGAUGUCAUAGAAAAUCUCUAAAGCCUCUAUACUUUAGUGAUAAAAAACAUUGUGUCUUUGGAUGUGCUCUUGAAUUGUUCAUCAGGCCGUAACAUCACGUGGUUUUUGGCAGUGACAGUGUGUGUUUCAGGUGAAGAAGUGAAUUAAAUAGUGGCCCAAACUAUUUCUGGUAUUUUAAUUGUAUUACAUUUGGAGUGCAAUAUUUAAAUGACCUUCUCUUGGUAUGUCAGUUUUCUCUCAGCUGUCAUUUCACCUCAGAAACUUUUGUAUGAAGACAAUAUUUUAAGAUUAAAUUUUAAGAUUAAUAAGAAAUUGCAUUAGUUUGGUCUCUAGA